rnacentral:rRNA from 1 species
UACGAAGGGGGCUAGCGUUGCUCGGAAUGACUGGGCGCAAAGGGCGCGUAGGCGGCUUGCACCGUCAGAUGUGAAAUUCCUGGGCUUAACCUGGGGGCUGCAUUUGAUACGUGUGGGCUUGAGUGCGGAAGAGGGUCGUGGAAUUCCCAGUGUAGAGGUGAAAUUCGUAGAUAUUGGGAAGAACACCGGUGGCGAAGGCGGCGACCUGGUCCGUGACUGACGCUGAGGCGCGAAAGCUAGGGGAGCAAACGGG